UGAGAGUCGCUGCAAAAAAAAAAAAGAGAAAAGUGUGAAGCCUUCCAAAUCAGUGUUAAUGCGAGCACUUGGGUCUGAGGACCAAUGUUACUGUAAAAAAAUGUGUUCCCUAGGAGAGCAGCAGACACACCCGGAGCUCUGUGGAAAUCAUAUGAGCUUAGCAUCAGAGUAAAGUUUGAAAAACCUCUGAGUCAUGAGCUUGUUUUUCCUUUUUUUUUUUUUACACUUACAUGUUCGCACAUUCACACAGUCUCUACCUCGUGUCUGAAAAAUGUUGUCUGGAGUUGAACAUGAAAGUUUUCAGCGCUGGUAAAAGCUCAGCCAACUGGAAAAAACGACCCAGGUCACAGUGACGACUGCAACGCCGAAAAAAGAGCUGAAAGGUGAAAACGCUCUAAACUGAAGCCGAACUGCGUAUGUGUGCAUGAGUGUGUGUCUCGGUCCCUUGGUGCAAUGCUUCAAGGCUAAAACAUCAAUUACUCGUGAUGAAAAGGUACAGUGGGGUUUGGUGGGGGGUCGGAGACAAAAUGCAGAGCUAAGGUCAAAGGCGGUCAGCUGGAAUGUGUCGCGGUGCCGCCCUGAGGCCUGGCUCUGCAGGACGUGUCCAUCCUUAACUCUUCCCAUCAGCCCCAUCAGCACAGGUGCAGGCAUCAGCCCUGAAGGACCGUCCCCGGUUCUAGGAGCAUUGGAAGACUCUGCAAGUGUCUGUCUGUGUGCGUGUGAUUCCCCAGUCGCAUGAGAACAGGAUGUGCGAGUUGUGUGGGCUUCAGGAGACACAGGGUCACUGAGUGUUUGUUUGUGUGUAUCUGCAGUGUCAGGGCUGCUGUGAGAGUGUGUUGCGUGACAGCCUGAAGGAGAUGUAUGUGUGUUUGUGUCUCCGUCCAGGGUUAUGCAGGGACGUUGUGUGUAAUUUUUGGUGCCUUUUUCUGCCAAAGAGUCUGAGGCAUUUAUGGCAAACGUUGGACGGAGUGAGGAAACUGCAGAUUUGUGGCGUGUUUACCUUUUCUGGUUUUAAUUAGUCAGUUGGAAGAAGCAGCACCGUUAGAUUACAACAAAUUAGAAAGCAUUAGUAAAUGCCACUGCAGUUUAAUUUCUUGGUUUGUCUAUAGUUUACUUUUUAAUUAGUAAGCUUGUUUCUAAAUAGGCUUAAAAAAUUGUCUGCAUUGACAGAUUGUGAUCCCUUGUUACAAUCUGAAGGAAUUAGAAACGUUUUCAGCCAUAAACAGUAAAUUUCAUUUAAUUUGUGUAGAAAAAAAAAUAAGGAAAAACAACCGAAACAAAAAGUCUUUGCCCAAACUUUUCGCUUAAUUCUGUCCCUGACUGUUAAUUGUCGAGUGACCUCAGCUAUUUUUGCCUCUGGAUUUGGGAUAACUGCUGAAUAGAUAGAAGUGAAACUGGACGAGCAAAACUGAUCCAAGAAAAAGAAAUCUGCACUCAAACUCAGACAGUCGGCUUUAUUUUAUGUUGACACAUGCCUGUAAAAGCAGAAGCAUCUGCCAUAAAAUGUCUUUCUUCCUUCUAGAGCUGAGCAACAUGGCUUCGCUAAUAUUGCAAUACUUAAUACAUAUACUGGUAUUUUGAAAUCUCCUCUGAAUCUCUAUAUAAAUGUUAAAUGUAACCCUUUGAUGCAUGCCAAGAGAGAAGGUGAUUUAAGCGCAACCUUCUAGUGGAUUUGUCUUCAUUUCCAAUCAAAAAAGGGGAAAACUAACCCGCAAUUAAGUGAAAUUGAUCAAACUUUCCAUUUCAAACCACACAGGUGCACUCAUAGAAAUAAAUAAUUGCACGCUAUUAAUGGCAAGACCCUCAACUAAAACAAAAGAGUGAAUUAAGCAAGAAUCCUUGAACAAGGCGCUUUUAAACCACAGCAAUUAUAAUUAAAUUUUUGCUUGAUCAAGAUUAUAACAACAGAUAAUUUAAACAUGGUUAAAUUUCUCUUUUGUCCUCAGUAAAAAAAUGUAUUUUUACUGAUUUUUCAUGCCAUUUCACUGUAUGAAGAUAUAGGAUGUGCAAUGGAGCUGGGUGUACAUAAUAGAAAAAGGGUGAGCUUUAAUAAUGUCGAUUCAUUUGGUGAGAAAGGAAGUAUUUUAUCCUUCCUCUAUACUGAAGAAGACACAAGUUAUUGUGAUCAAUUUGUCAUUUACAGAAAUUAAUCUGUUUUAAUGCUUUGUAUCUUUUCUUUGAACGCACAUCCUGGUAUAAUACUUGAUCAGUGUCUCCACAUGCUGUUAAUAACAGAGGGAGGGCUGAACACCGAGCAGUGUGUUAAUGAAGGGCAAUUAUGAGACAUGACCUUGAUUUGUGUGUUAAUGACCUUGAUUUUUAGUUCAACAAUAAACCACUUAAGUGCCACAUCAGGAACAGCGGACUUCAUAUUAUCAAACAAAAGUUUCGUUAAUUGUUAAUUAAAAAUAAUGAAAUGAUGAAAACUAGAAUUGAAAAAAAAAACAUUUUGUUAACUGAAGUAAACUAUAAUUAAAGGAAAAAAAACAAUAAUUAACUGGAACUGUAUUGUGUGUUUACAAAACUAACUAAAAUGUAUAAAAAUUUCAGAUAAUUAUAUUUCGUUUUGUUCAAUUUCGGAUUGAUAUGAAAUUGAUCUAUUUUACUCAAGCAAUUUUACGUGAGCUAGCAGCGCCGUAAGACACCUCACAGUUCAUCUCUUCUUGUUUACAAACUAAUAAAAACUAAACUAAAACUAAUUAAUUAGAAGAAAUAAAAACAUAAAAACAAAAACAAACGCUCUAAAACUAAUUAAAACUAACCGAAUUAGAAAAAAAAAAAGUAAAAACAAAAUAAACUAAACUAAAACUAAUCACUUAGAAAAACAAAACCUAACAAAAAUCUGCUCUAAAAACUAAUUAAAACUAACCGAAUUAGAGGGGGGGAAAAAAAGUAAAAACACAAUAAAACUAAACUUUAAUAAAAAAAUCCAAAACUAUUAUAACCCUUUCUAUGACUUGAUCACUUCAGUUUGUGAUCACACCACUGAUGCAGACUGUGUUUGAGGGAGCAGCCUUCAGCUUGUGUGGGCAGAAUAAUCAUGGCUAUAUGUUUUGUAAGGUGUAAUGAAGGUAGACAGGUACCAUGAUAAUUUGCAUCUGAUUUGGGAAAAUGAGAUCCAAUCAGGAUUGGUCACUGAGGACCCAUGGUCGAUACUAAAUCUGCUUAAAGCUGGCCUCUUGGAUAUCCUGAUCACCGAAAACCACAUGCUGCAACAUAUGAGCCACCUCUCUGAGCACUCAGAGAAAUGCCUCCACUUUUUUCUCUCCUGUGUCCUCACCCCUCUUCUCCUAAUGGAAAAACAUGCAUGAUGAUACACUAUGGGAGGGGGAGAGUACUGCCUGCUGGAAGAGAGUAAGAGAGGAGAAAUGCAAGCUAAUGGCUUAAAACUCUCAAUAUGUAGUUUGUACCCUAUAGUUGAAGUAGUUUACAUCAGGUACAUGUUCAUAUUUCAUAGGUUUUUCACACACUUCUACUUUCUUCCUAUCCGACCUGCUGAGAAUGACCACGUAAUAUCAUUUCUACAUAUAAAAUGAUAUUAUAGAUAGCCACUGGCAUGUGUAACUAAAAAGAAAGGAAGGGAAAAAACAAUCUCUUAAGAGGGUGCAGAGGGAGCAACUGCAUUUAAUUUGUUGGAACACAAAGAGAAAGUCUUUCAUUACUGCAUGAGUCACCUUGAUUUCUAUAUAUUUAUUUUGUUGUUAUCAGGACAAACAGCUAGAGGCUUGUUUGGAUGAGGCCAGUUUUGUCUGCACUUCCCCUGAUAAAGAAUACAAAUAUUGUGAGUUUUACUCUAAAAGCAUACCAAGUAGUUCCUCUUGCACAGUGACCAUAAUUUUUUAUACUUUUUCCAAAAACUUUUUAUUAAAAACUUUAAACUUCUCAAUAUUCAGGAGUUGUUACAGGCUCUAGUGUCCAAACUGAGAGGAAGGGAUAGGAGGGCAAGUUUUGUGUAAACGUUGGAGAGACUUCAAAGAGUUCAUUGCAUCAAAUAGGCGAUGACUCUGCGUUUGGAAAAAAUCGGACCAGUGGAUGGACGUAGGCUUCACCCCUCUAUGCCUCAAGAUCUCAGACGAAAUACUCAAAAUCCUCAGCUUACCAUGAGCUUUCUCUUCAGUGCACAUAUCCAUUAUGAUAGCUAUUUUUGAGCACUGUUAGAUUCAAUGUAUGCACCGGUACACACGCUUCUUAACAGAUAGCUGCACAGGGACGGUCAGCGCUGCGGUGCAAAGAGGCGAAAAGCAGAAUCUUUUGCAGCACAGGGGUGACGACCGAAAUAAAAAUAGAAGAUAGACGUUUUCAGAGUUCAAGUGGAGAUGACCGGGUUGAGAGCGUCCAGUGAGACUCAUGGCCUUUGAUGUGCUUUUGUCUCGGCUGCAGCUACUUUUCUGUCGAGCUUUGGAUUCACAGAUGAAUGUCCUGUUUGAACUAGUUUUAACUAUCCAAGGCAAUUUAAAACAUAAGGAGCAAAACAAACAGAGAAAUCUACUUAGCGGUGCCCUUAAAGGAAGUGCAGACAAUGGUCUUAUUGCUUCAAACUAAUCUACGAAGAAUUAAUGUGCUUACAUUCCACUGAGUAAUUUUUUUGGGGGAUAAUUUGUAGACUUGAUUUUGGUUUUCUUUUACUUUCUUAUUUAACUGAAAAACUGAAGCUCGCGCAGAAGAGCGCUGCCAGGGUAGCCCUUGGUUGUUCUUAUAGAGCGAAUGUGAAUGAGAUGUACACCACCUUAGGGUGGUUAAAGGUACAGAACGAGCUAAAUAUAAAUAUUCUCUAGCCUGGCUGGGCCAUCCUGUUGUGUGAAUCACUUGCCGUUCCUUCACACAACAGUCUGGACUUCGGCCCACUGGGAGCGUGUAUUAGCGAUCAGAAAAUAACCGGGCUAAUCAGUGACUGGGUUUCCACUGUUUUCCCCGGACAACAGGGAAAGGCAGCACCUGAUUGGUCCAUGUGUAGAUGGUGACGGCUAACACAUGCUGCGGGACUUUUCAAAGCGCCGUUCAUUCAGAACGCCGUUAAUUCUGCAGUUGACUUUGCAAAAUCGGCAGAAAUCGUUUAUAUCCGCAGAAGACGUCAGAUAUAAACAAGCACCGAAAACACAGCAAAUGAGCAGUAGGUAUUAUUUUAAAAGGACUUUCAAACAAAACUGUAUGUAUGAAUCAGCAUAGAUUUUGGAGUGAUUUUAAUGUUUUAAUGUUGUGAAGACUCAUGAAUUGAAUCUGUAAUUGUAUUUAUUAUUAAUUAAUUGUGAAACUGUGAUUGCAUUGUGAUUUUAAGUUUUUGGACCCCAGGAAGAUUAGCAACCACUUUGUGGAAGCUAAUGGGGUUCCAAACAAAUCAAAAACAAAGGGCCGAAGGGGGGGCGGGGCGCACUCCGCUGACUAGUGGCCUGCUGGACGGCCGGGGGCAGCCCUGCUGGACUGUGUCCCAGGUGUGGGAAAGCUGGUAGGCUCCUUCAUCCUGGUUUACAGUCAUAGGGGCCCGCUUCCUGAUUUCGACCGCCUCUUUGAUCCACCGAUGGAACUUGUUGCUUUCCGAUCUGAUGACCUUGGCUGCAUCCCAAUUCAUGAGCUGGUUUUCUCUCUUGCAGUGGUCUGAUUUUCAGAUUUUCCUACAUUGCUUUCUUUCUUGUUGAGCGUCCCAGAUGUUUCCUUUUCACAUUCAAAUUUAUCAUCGACAGGCCAAAUGAACCUCUUUAGUGCUUUUUCUCUUCUUUUUGCUAUUUUAGACAUUAUCUUACGCUCCAGGAAACAAAGGCAGACAUUUUCCACAUUCUAAUUUUUUGAGAAAAUAAUCAGUUUGUUAAUCAAUAAUGAGAAAUGGGUUCUAUCUGACACCUCGGAGCAACUCAAGACUAGUUGAAUUUUCUUUCCUGUGGUUGUUUUCAUGUUCCCAUCUCUAAUGUGCAGCCAGUAAAGUAUCUGUAUGUCUAGGUGUGGUGGGGUGAAUGCAUUUCUGUGUAUGUUUGUGCAAACCAUAUGGUGACAUUUGCGUUAGUCAUUAUUCACACUGACUUCCCGUAAGCCCCUGCAGAACCGCGGCACUUUGUACUCUGUGGCAUUGCACUACAAUAUUUAUGAAUGCUUCACAUGCUUCAGACACCAGAUUGCAGAGUGAUUCAUUCACUGCAGAGAAACACAUAUUCACAUAUUGUGCAUGUUUACUUGAAGGGCAUGCAUCUCAUUGAUAGACAAAAACAGGAUGUGCUUGAGGCCAGAGAGACUGUCGAACACACUAUUUCAUUUCCUUAUCCAUACAGUCUUUAACAAUGUAAAUUAGAAUGUAAACAUUCACAGAGGGAAGUUUAGAUCUUUGAAGAUCCCCCUCAGAUAUAUGCUCAGCGUGUCAACAAUGUGCAGACAGAGGAAGAGAUCUCUAUCUUAAUAUAAAAAUGUCACCAGUUCCACCAGUAUUCCUCCAUUUAUGACAAAACUUUAGCUGAAAACAUUAGCGUCGUGUCUCUGCUCCGUCGAACCGUUGUCUACCGCUCACAGGAUGCGUAUUUGGAGCGUGACUUUGUUGAUUAUAACAAAUAACAGCCCAGGUUACUAAGUGAAGUAUCAGCUACUAAACUCAAUCACAUGGAGCAUUGUCAUACCUUUACAAGCAGUUUUGGCUUCAGUAGCGUGAUGGUGACGGAUCUGACCUUAGUGACAGAUCAAACCUCUCAAGGUCAUGAUCAGAGCACCACCUGAUCCAAAGCCUAAACACCAGCUGGUCACCGGCUCCGUAUUUUUAGCUUGUACUGAUGUUAAAAUGGAAAAAAAACCCACACCAGUCGCACACUGUGUCAGCUUCAACUUGUUAUUGUUUAUUUAUAUGAUCAUUAUAUCUUUAUUUUGAGCUUGUAGCUUGCAAGAACAUUGUAAAAAGUCACUCAAGCUGCUUUUUCAUCACCUCAGACACAUUUAUUGUCAUUAACAUGCAAUGUUGGAGUGACGGACUGUCAGUGUGAGCGGCACUUUGCACUUUCUCUGCCCCCUCAGAUCUUUGGGUGUUCACUAAUCAGCUUGUUUGAAUUUAAAAGGAUUGAAAAAUUAUCCCCAUCCUAGAAAAGGUUCUUACCCUUCACCCAAAAGUUAAAGGAAGCACUUAUUUUUGAUUUGAGGAAUAAGGACACGAGUUUAAGUCAUCUCGAACCGUGCUCUGUGAUUUUUCCACUGUUUAAAAAAUCCUCUAAGACAUAUUUUAUUCAUUAUUCCUAAGAAAAUCAUAAAGAUAACCAGGUGGUAACAAUACAUUGAUUGUUGUUAGCUUUUCUAAUGAAAGCCUAAAUACCUCCUCCUAAAUAUAAAUUAACUGCAGUCACUGGGAUCACAAAUUCACGUCUGGAAGAGUCGGGCUCAAACUGAAAUCUAUAGCUUUUCCCUCAGCUAAUUAUUGAGAGAACAAAUCCCAA